rnacentral:rRNA from 1 species
AGUCGAGGGGCAGCACGAAUAGCAAUAUUUGGUGGCGACCGGCGCACGGGUGCGUAACACGUAUACAACCUACCUAUAACAGGGGGAUAGCCUUUCGAAAGAGAGAUUAAUACCCCGUAAUAAAUUUGAUGGCAUCAUUAGAUUUUGAAAGCUCCGGCGGUUAUAGAUGGGUAUGCGUCUGAUUAGCUAGUUGGUGUGGUAAUGGCUCACCAAGGCGACGAUCAGUAGGGGAUCUGAGAGGACUAACCCCCACACUGGUACUGAGACACGGACCAGACUCCUACGGGAGGCAGCAGUAAGGAAUAUUGGUCAAUGGAGGCAACUCUGAACCAGCCAUGCCGCGUGCAGGAUGACGGCCCUAUGGGUUGUAAACUGCUUUUGUACCAGAGAAAACCCCAGUACGUGUACUGGGUUGAUAGUAUGGUAAGAAUAAGCAUCGGCUAACUUCGUGCCAGCAGCCGCGGUAAGACGAAGGAUGCAAGCGUUAUCCGGAUUCAUUGGGUUUAAAGGGUGCGUAGGCGGACUUGUAAGUCAGUGGUGAAAUCUCUCAGCUUAACUGAGAAACUGCCAUUGAUACUGCAGGUCUAGAGUAUAGAUGACGUUGGCGGAAUAUGACAUGUAGUGGUGAAAUACUUAGAUAUGUCAUAGAACACCGAUUGCGAAGGCAGCUAACGAAACUAUAACUGACGCUGAGGCACGAAAGUGCGGGGAUCAAACAGGAUUAGAUACCCUGGUAGUCCGCACCGUAAACGAUGAUUACUCGUUGUUGGCGAUAUGACAGUCAGCGACCAAGCGAAAGCGAUAAGUAAUCCACCUGGGGAGUACGCCGGCANCGGUGAAACUCAAAGGAAUUGACGGGGGCCCGCACAAGCGGAGGAGCAUGUGGUUUAAUUCGAUGAUACGCGAGGAACCUUACCUGGGCUUGAAAGUUAGCGACCGGUC